rnacentral:rRNA from 1 species
GAUGAACGCUGGCGGCGUGCCUAAUACAUGCAAGUCGAGCGAACAGAUAAGGAGCUUGCUCCUUUGACGUUAGCGGCGGACGGGUGAGUAACACGUGGGUAACCUACCUAUAAGACUGGAAUAACUCCGGGAAACCGGGGCUAAUGCCGGAUAACAUUUAGAACCGCAUGGUUCUAAAGUGAAAGAUGGUUUGGCUAUCACUUAUAGAUGGACCCGCGCCGUAUUAGCUAGUUGGUAAGGUGACGGCUUACCAAGGCAACGAUACGUAGCCGACCUGAGAGGGUGAUCGGCCACACUGGAACUGAGACACGGUCCAGACUCCUACGGGAGGCAGCAGUAGGGAAUCUUCCGCAAUGGGCGAAAGCCUGACGGAGCAACGCCGCGUGAGUGAUGAAGGUCUUCGGAUCGUAAAACUCUGUUAUUAGGGAAGAACAAAUGUGUAAGUAACUGUGCACGUCUUGACGGUACCUAAUCAGAAAGCCACGGCUAACUACGUG